CAUAAUACAUGCAAGUCGAACGGGAUAGAACUUAGCAAUUAGGUUCUUGAGAGUGGCGCACGGGUGCGUAACACGUAUGCAACCUACCUUUAACUGGGGGAUAGCCUCUCGAAAGAGAGAUUAAUACCCAUAGUAUAACUGAAGAGCUAUUUUUUGGUUAUUAAAGAUUUAUCGAUGUAAGAUGGGCAUGCGUCCAAUUAGUUAGUUGGCGAGGUAAUGGCUCACCAAGACUUUGAUUGGUAGGGGAACUGAGAGGUCAAUCCCCCACACUGGCACUGAGAUACGGGCCAGACUCCUACGGGAGGCAGCAGUAGGGAAUAUUGGGCAAUGGACGCAAGUCUGACCCAGCCAUGCCGCGUGCAGGAUGAAGGCGUUAUGCGUUGUAAACUGCUUUUAUACAGGAAGAAACGACUCUUGCGAGAGGCAUUGACGGUACUGUAUGAAUAAGCACCGGCUAACUCCGUG
rnacentral:rRNA from 1 species